rnacentral:rRNA from 1 species
CAGUAGCCACGGUAAUACGUAGGUGGCGAGCGUUGUCCGGAAUCAUUGGGCGUAGAGGGAGCGCAGGCGGGCAUGUAAGUCUUUCUUAAAAGUUCGGGGCUCAACCCCGUGAUGGGAAAGAAACUACAUGUCUUGAGUACAGGAGAGGAAAGCGGAAUUCCCAGUGUAGCGGUGAAAUGCGUAGAUAUUGGGAGGAACACCAGUGGCGAAGGCGGCUUUCUGGACUGCAACUGACGCUGAGGCUCGAGAGCCAGGGGAGCGACCGGGAUUAGAUACCCGUGUAGUCCCUGUCUCUUAUACA